rnacentral:lncRNA from 1 species
GAAGCCCAUUUGUGUGCAGGGUCCAGAUUGCCCUUAAGUUGAAGGGAGUUGAAUACAAAUUUUUGGAAGAAAAUUUGGGCAACAAGAGUGAUUUGCUUCUCAAAUACAACCCUGUUCACAAGAAGGUUCCAGUGUUUGUUCACAAUGAGCAGCCCAUAGCAGAGUCUCUUGUGAUUGUUGAAUACAUUGAUGAGACAUGGAAGAACAACCCCAUCUUACCUUCUGAUCCUUACCAAAGAGCCUUGGCUCGUUUCUGGUCCAAAUUCAUUGAUGAUAAGGUAACUCAACAUUUCAAAAAUCUUCUUAGUUUUCAUGAUUUGUGCUGAUUUGUCAGCAAAACAUCACGAUGAAAUCUAUAUAUGUGAAAUCUUUCUGGUGUGGAAUAUAUAUGUGAAAUCUUUGAAUAUGUUAGAGAACUCAAAAGUCAACAGCCAACCAUGAUUUUUUUUAAUGUAUCAACUUUUUGUAAAACGAUAUUAGUGAUUUGAAACUUUAUGGAAUCAUAUACUAUGACUUUGGGAGAAAUUUUAUUUUAUUUUACUAUUUUUAUUUGGGGUGGGGGGAUUCUGUCAAGUAUUUGUUUCUAUAUAACUCGAUCUAAAUUCUGUUUGUCCUAAUCACUUUAAGAAAUAAUUACUAAUAAAUAAUGUGAUUUGCGAAAUCAGAUUGUGGGUGCAGUAUGGAAAUCUGUUUUCACGGUUGAUGAGAAAGAGCGUGAGAAGAAUGUUGAAGAAACAUAUGAGGCUCUUCAGUUUCUUGAGAAUGAACUGAAGGACAAGAAGUUUUUUGGAGGAGAGGAAUUUGGGUUGGUAGAUAUUGCUGCUGUCUUCAUAGCAUUUUGGAUCCCAAUUUUUCAGGAAAUAGCAGGGUUGCAGUUAUUCACCAGUGAGAAAUUUCCUAUACUCUACAAAUGGAGCGAAGAAUCCCUUAACCACCCUUUAGUGCAAGAAGUCCUUCCUCCUAGAGACCCACUUUUUACCUUCUUCAAAGCCCGCUAUGAAAGUCUUUCUGCUUCAAAAUAGACUUAUUUAAGGAUAUUUGUUGAACAACUUGUGUCUUGUUGAGUUAUUGAUGUUUGAAUUUCAUGUCAAAUGAUACUAGCUAUAUGUAAAUCCCAAAAAAAAAAAAAAAGAAUCCUAGGAUCUUGUUUUCGUUUUGGCCAUUUCAGUUAAUAAAGAAAUUAUAUUUUUCGAUAUAAAUUUUGUUGUGAGAAGCUUUAUUCUUCCUUCAUUAAAUCCUUCAAUGUGCAUAAUCUUAUUCGUAGAGAGACUUAGAGCGGCUAGUAGCUACUACCUUAAAAAUUUUGCUUCAAUUCGAAGGACAACGUAUAUAUUAUGUAAUAUGUAAUUAAAUUUCAGCCAUACAAUUAUUUGUGUCUCUGGUUGACUUAAUGUUGUUCAAAUUUGAUGUCAAAUUGACACUUAAAGUAAUAUGUAAUAUGAUUUCCUAAGUUCUCUUUUGCUUGCCAAGCAGCAACAUGAAAAGCUGUGUGAAACAUAGAAUUUAUAGUUUAUUGAGAUAAAAGAGCCGAGUGAAAAAAAAAUCAUGGUGUGACUCUCAGAUAAACCACAAGUUGAGAUUGUUGACCACUGAAAAUUUUCAAAAACUCCACAAAAAUGGAGUCAGGAAUCAGGAGGAUUCACCAACCAACCAACAACAUAAUAAAUCAAUUGAAUCUAAAAGGAAGAGUAUUAGUAAGUAAUAACACGUUCUCUAAUACAUUUUUAAGACACUUUUUUUUUAUAAAGAAAUCUGUAUAGUAAAUUUUAAAUUAAAUAAUAAAUUGUUAAUAAAAUAUAAAGCACCAUUAAAUUUUUUUUAUUUUUAGAAUUAUUUGUUUACAUGCAGAAAUAAUUAUUAAUUCUUAAGUAUCCCUUAAAAGGAUAUAAGAAAAUUAGUGUUUAUAACACACAUUUAUUGUAGGGGUGUUCAAAUCUAAACAAAUCCAAAAAUAAAUCACAAAAAUUGAUAAAAAAAAAACUUCAAACCAAUAAAAAUUUAUUUGUUUUGGAAUUUUUUAUUACUAUUUUGUAUAAUCAAUCAGGUUUGAAUUUGGAUGAUAUUUUCAAAAUUGAACCAAUUCAAAUCAAACCUCACAUUAUAUUAACAUCAAUCUUACUAGGUAUUGAGCAUUAGGUAAUUGUAUUUUAAACUUUUAAUAGUUAUAAUAUAUAAUUUAUAAUUUAAUUCUUUUUAUAAGAUGUUCAUAAUAUGUGGUUUUUAUUAUUCUAUUAAUAAUAAAUAUUAAAUUAAUUUAUAAUAUUUUUUGCUCUGUAAUUUGAUCUGCAUAAUUUACUUUUACAUGUUACAGAAAGAGCAUAGCAAUAUAGUUGAAGAAUAAUGCUAAAUAUCAAAUAUUAUGCAAGUUACUUUUACAUCACAAGAUGAUGAUGCCAAUAUAAUUAAGAAAAAAUGUUAAACAGUAGUAAAAAGUAUUGUUUUUCAAAUUUUAAAAAGAGAUAGAAAAGAAAAUUUAUAUUUUAGAUCAGUAUAGCAUAAUAAUAAUUAUGUAAAUUUAGUUAUUAAAUUUUAUAUUGUAUUUAUAAAUUUUAAAAAACAUAAAUUCAUCAAACUGAACUGUAAAAAAUUAGUUUGGUUUAAUUUAAAUUUCAUGUUACUUUUAAAUUCAACUAAUCCAAAUCACAUAUUAAUUCUAUGUUUGGUUAUUAUUUUUCUUCUAAAAAUCAAACUAAAUCGCAUUACAUAUACCAUGUGUUUUCAGUUUGAAGAGAAAGAAGUGACGAGAGUUUUAAGGGAAAAGUGAAAAAAAAUGUGGGACUUAUUUAAAAAAAUGAAAUGACUCAUCUGGUUAUCUAUCAUUUUAUUUUGAAAUAUGUAAAUAUAAUAUUAAUACGAAUAAAUACAUAUUUACAACAAACACACAUUUUUCUAUUUCUUCUAUUUAUUUCUACUUGUCUCAAUCCAAGUAACUUAAAAAUCUUCUCAUUAAAUACUCAUUCUCUCUUCUAUUCUCUUCUCUUUUAAAUCUUUUUAAAAUUUUCUCUCAUUUUUUCCAUACGCUUUGGCAUGCACGAGCAUUGCAAUAGGACCUUCUUUGACAUCUCACAAGAAUGUUAGCACCUCAAAUCAUUUAUCAUACAAACAAAACAUUAACGCACUAUAAUUCAUUUGUAUUAAAUAUAAGAUUUAAAUAUAAUUUUAAUAUUAAUCCUUAAAAAAUAAGACCAUUUUGACUUUGGUCUUUUAAAAAAAUUAUUUUAAUUUUAGUCCAUGUAAAAUUUUUUUUUUUAAAUCUUUAUUGUCAAAUAGCAACAUUAACUGAUAUGAUAACUACAAUAUUUCACAUAAUUAUGAAAUCUUAAAGAAUAGGUACAUCUAAUAUGCUUAAAACUGAGUAAGUAUAUCAGACUGGUCGAUAAGAUUUUUUUUUUUUUAUGUAAUUUGAUGAGAUAUAUUAAAACAUAGUUUAUUAAAAAGUAUAUGCAUAAUUGUUUUGUCAUGCUUUUUAAUUACGUGGCAAAGUCAAUAAAAUCUAAAUAUCAUUGUUAUGUCAUCAAAUUGGAUCAUUUGACAGAGACUAAAACUAAACAUAUUAAAUUUUACGUGAACUAAAUCAAAAUAAUAUUAUUUUUCAGAAUAUAAAAAUCAUAUUUAUGCCUAAUAAGAAAUUACAUAAUCUCUUGCAUCAUUUUUUCUCUCUCUUCAUAUAUAGGUGCAUAAAAUUAUUUUGAUGAGGAAGGUUUCUUCAAUAUUUUCAAAAUCCUCCUUCAAUUUAGUGAUUGCGGUAGAUAUUCAAUUAGAAAAAAUAUCUCUUAGUAAAAUCAAUAUCAUUGAUUAUUUUUUUAGAAUUCCUAUAUUGCAUGUUAUGAUAAUUUAUAGAAUAAAUCAUAGCAAUACUCGUUGAACUUUUAUCAAAUUAUACAUAAUUUUAUCCUUUUUUAUUUUCCUAGACUUCUUUUUUUAAGUUUGAAAACAUUAUAUUGACGUCUCUUUAAAUGUUUGAAAACAUUACACUACAAUAAUCUUCCUUUAAUUUUCAAAAUAUUACAUUGACACUUUCUUAUAUGUUUAAAAAUGCUAUUGUAAUAUUCCUUCAAAUCUUACACUAAUAUUUCUUAUAAGAAAUGUCAAAAGUAAUGAUCCUAUAAAAAGAUGUAUAAUUAUAUUAAAUUUUUAUAGAUGUUGUUGUAAUUUACUCUAAUGUAUUCAUCUUUUGUUCUAAAAUAAUUAUUGUGUGAAAAAAAUAUUUAUUCUAAAAUAAGUAUCAUUUUAAAUUUUUAAAGUAACUUUUAUUAUUUUUUCUAUUCAUAUUCCUUAUAAUAUUAAUGAUAUGGGUAACAAAAAUUAAUAUUAAUGAUAUGGGUAACAAAAAUUAAAAGUGAAUUAAUGGUGAUAAAGUUAAAUUUAAAAAAAUGUUAUUUUUUUAUCUAUUUAUUAAUUUUUUUUAUUUGUGUAAAAUAAUCUAGUAUGAUAAUUAUAAAUAAUGAAAUAAGAAAGUAUUUUUUUUUUGUUGACAACAACCAUAAUCACUCCUUUUCAAGGGUGUGUAUUUUAUGGGAUCGAAUAAAACCACGGUGUGUGUUACUAUCUAAGUUUUAUCUAUGGAGUAAAAAGUACAUAUUUGACUAUUCAUUAGGAGAAUAUAUAUAAAAAAAAUUCUAUACGGUUUACGUAAUCUCUUACAUCAUUUAUUUUCCCACAUUCUAUAAAUAUAUAAUACAUCUUAUCUAACUGAUGACGUAUCCGCUGAAUACUAGUCCUGAUUCCCGGCUCAAUAAGAGGAGAAUACCUUAGGAAUCCAUAAGAAACAUUAAUUCACCACUAUAGUUGUUCCUUUUGAAGGUUAGAAGUGCUACAAUGGCUGCUAAUCAGGAAGAUACUCAGGAAGAUGUGAAGCUUUUGGGUAUUGUGGGAAGCCCAUUUGUGUGCAGGGUGAAGAUUGCCCUCAAGUUGAAGGGAGUUCAAUACAAAUUUUUGGAACAAAAUUUGAGGAACAAGAGUGAACUGCUUCUCAAAUCCAACCCAGUUCACAAGAAGGUUCCAGUGUUUAUUCACAAUGAGAAGCCCAUAGCAGAAUCCCUUGUGAUUGUUGAGUACAUUGAUGAGACAUGGAAGAACAACCCCAUCUUACCUUCUGAUCCUUACCAAAGAACCUUGGCUCGUUUCUGGUCCAAAUUCAUUGAUGACAAGGUAACU